UACGUAGGCAGCGAGCGUUGUUCGGAGUUACUGGGCGUAAAGGGCGCGUAGGCGGCACAGGAAGUCUUGGGUGAAAGUCCUGGGCUCAACCCAGGAAGGGCCUGAGAAACUCCUGAGCUGGAGUGCUGGAGAGGAGAGCGGAAUUCCCGGUGUAGCAGUGAAAUGCGUAGAUAUCGAGAGGAACACCAGUGGCGAAGGCGAGUCCCUGGACAACACCUGACGCUGAGGCACGAAAGCCGGGGGAGCAAACAGG
rnacentral:rRNA from 1 species